GGUUCUGGCCUCCGGACCGAGAAGCGGGGCGGAACCGUUCUGGCGCGGUGCCCACCUUGCGGGCCUAGGGGUGGUGUGGAGGGGAGGACCCGGCCGUCGGACCAGGCUCGGUGGAGUCCGAAUCCCGCUCGUGAUGCUGGCGUGGGCGCCCGCGCCGCAGUCUCGCCCGCCGCGGGACUCCAGGGAGGUUUUUCCCGGGAGCCAGACCCUCCACGCGUGACGGGCCUCGCGUCGCCGGGUGCUGCGAGGCUGCCCCGGACCGUGUUGGAGAUGGGACACGCGUGCGCACCCACGGGCGGGCUGUGUUCCUCGCGGUCCCGUUAUCCUCGGGGCAGAGCAGAGCGGGGACGCAGCCUCCUCAGCCGCCCGCAGAAGAGGGGAGCCGAUGUGAGGAGCACACGUGCGGGGGUUGGGGGAGAAGUAGUCAACAUCUAUUUCUGCGACCUGGGGGGCUGGAGGGGGGAACCAGUGCGCCAGAAAAAGGCUUUCUAUGCAGUAUGACGGAGUUCUGCCGUUGAUAUUUGUUUGAGGAACGAUUUUGUGAAUUGCAGCAAUGAGGUCCUGUGAUUUAUAGAAGCUGUCAGUCAUUAAAUCUGCAUCAUCCAUGUUUUGUUGCAAGUUCUUUAUAACGUGCUCCAUUAAAAUGUAGACAAGAUUAUCAAAUUAACCGUUUUCAGAGUUGUCCCUGACUGUGAUUUUCUGUGAAUCAUGUCACUAUAUUUUAAAUGUGAACGUAAGUAGGGAGGUGGUGGUUGUUUUUUUAGCUUUGCUUUACACAAAUUCUAAAGAGCAUUGCUGAGAUUGUGUGAUACCAAAUAUAUUUAAAGCAAUCUUAAAUAGUCUUUCAUGGCCAGUAGCUUCUGACAAUUUCAUUUAAAGACCAUGGUUUGAGUUUGGUUUUUGUUUUUAAUUAAAUUACUUUGAUAGAGCAAAUGAAGUUGCCUUGAUAGAUAAAGUUAAAAACACAUAAAUCAAUUAUUUUGAAUUUUUCUAUUUUUAAUUGAAUUUUCCAACAAUAGCUACAAUAGUUCUUAGUGCUAUAGACUAUUCACUUUAUUUCUUUAAACAACUUAUGUAAAGGCAUGAAAUGGCAAUUUGAUCAAAAAGCAACUUCUACUUUUUCUAAAUAUGUUUCUUCAAGAACCUAGAAAAUUGAGAAGUUUGUAACUUACAUAUUACUUAAAAAUAUUUUGUUGCUGAAUAUUCUCUACUGUACAAGAUGAAGUCCCCUUUCCAAGUUGGUUUGUUUAGCUUCCUGGGCCCUGCGCUAACUGCUGUAGUUCAGUCAAUCAGAGCGGUCCUAUGUCUUAGGUAAUGCUGGCAUCCCAUUUUUACAGAAGAGGAAAUCCCGAAGAGGAAGAGGUAAACUAAAUAUUUACACAGCACUACAGCCAAUGAGUCUGUCUGCUGUGCAGGCCAACCAGAAUGCUGUUCCCCCUUUUUACGGACCUGGUCCAGUCCGUUGAACCCAUGACAGGGUGCCAUCAUUUUUGACCCAUGGGUUCAACCAGUUUUAUAAUGUAGUUGAAACAAAACAACUGUGGGGCGUCUCCAUUCCCUGUGGAGUAACCCCUGAUGGGCCCCUGGUUGGAAACAGAGUAGAGACUUCAAGUGCAUGUGGCUCUGUCCCCCAUGACCUGCUCCCCUACCUGCUGCUGGCCAGCCUCACUGCAUGGACUCUAGUCUCCCCAGAAUCCACCUUGACCUGCAGCUGCUUGGCGUCUCUAGGGCUCUGAGCUAGGUGUCCCACUGGAAAGCUUUCCCACGCCAGCUCUCCUGCCACCACUACUACUUGUUACAUUUUCAGUUCUUUCUCACAUGCCCCAUCAGAUCUGUGGGUCAGUUUGUUUUCCAUCAAAGACUUAAUUCUUAGAAUUCCUGACCCCCACAACAGCCUUUAUAUCUGUAGGUAUCCAUGCCGAGCACUUCCAGAGAGGAGUGUCAGUGCUCCUUGCAUGCUUGAGGUCCAAAUUCUCACCUAGCUUCUUUCAGUGCUCACCCAACAUGUCCGGAGGCAUGAGCAGCCAUAUCUGAGAGAUGACGUGAUUGGCUGCCUCGAAGCACUUUAUUGACUGUACAAGAAGCGUACAUGCUGUCUUUGGAGCCACUGACCUUCCCCAGCUGUCCAUCCAUAGGACCCUCCAUUUUCUGUCUUCUGUACAUUGUGUGCUCAUUAUAAUAUUCACCACUCAAAAUGAGGAAUGCUGUGUAGACCGCAGAGCUUGCUGGGAUGUGUACCUUUCAAGCUUAUGAUUUUAACAAUUGCUAUUGUUAAAAUCCUUUCAUUGUGUUAUUACAAGUAUCUUACUACAGUGCCAAAAUGAGCAGGAUACAUAUACACAGGUAUGUGAAGACCCUUGUAAUGGCUUAUUUCAGUGAAAAAGCAUGUCAUCUACUCUGUUGACACUAAAAUUGGCUCUUCAUCCUAACAAUGUGAUUAGCCAGGAGUGGAAAUGCACUUUCUGUUCUCUUCAUUGACUUGUAGGCCCAUAUUUCUAUAUGGCAUGGCAGCCAAGCCAUCAAGUCAUAGGCCACACCUGAGAUGGGUCACAUAUCCUGCCAGGCAGGCUGUCCCUAACCUAGCAAAACCUAGCAAAAGGUCAGGAUGUUUUGCUCCUUCCUUUGUAAUAUGGAGGAUGCCUUGUGGAGAUGCUGAUUCAAGCCUACAUGACAGCUAGCAUACAGAGCAGACAGGUAGUUGUGGACAUGACAAAAGGUCAUUCACCUGGUUACCUAGGAGACAGAAUGCUAAUGUAUUUCACCCUCAGUUAAGUUUUGGUAUAAAGACUGGAGAAUAAAUGAGAGGAAUUCUUCAGGAUGUGAACUCAGGACUUCAUGAGGGACCACUGAGAACCUCCCGAUAAAGCCAUGUGAGUUGUGUCUUUAUUCCCACGCCUUCAUGCCGGUCCAGAGAGAUAGUUUAUGUUGGGGUCUAGAGAAAUAAUUUAGAGUCCGGGCUAUCACCAGACCCCGACACUGGCUCUACCAGCUUACUGCAUUUUUUGACUUUAAAAUAAAAAUUUAGAGUAUCCAAGCACAUCUGUCUUUUAUCACCCUGACGUUUUUACAAGAACUAAAACUUAUUUUAUACUUCACAUUUAAUGUUUGAUGGCUCUUGGUCCCAAUAUUCUUUUUUAAAAAAUAUAAUUUCAAUUUCCAUAAAACGGGAUGUGAUAAUCUAGGUGUGUUUGUACAAUUAACUCUACAGAACUUUUUAGUGUCCUCUUUAAUUGUAAAGUGGUUUAUCAGUUACUGCUGGAAGCACUGAAAGCGAUCUAGGGACUCUGGUCAACUUCAGAUGUCAGGUAAGAAUGUAGAUGGAGCCUUGAGAGGUGGUGGUGGUGUUUGAGGGGGAGGGGUCCCCUAGCAGCAUGCCUUCUUUUCAUGAGGCUUGCUUGCAUCCUGUAAGGUGGGGAGCUCUGCUCCCUUGGCGGCUGUAGGAUGAUUUGUGCAGCCUUUAGACCACCAAGAUCUUCCUUCCAGAUAGAGCACCAGCAUGCAGCUCCAACCCCUGCCCAGCAGUUAAAUAUUAACUGCCCGUGUAAGGUUUCUGCUCAUUUGACCCUAAAGGAAACCGUAGAGGUAAAAUCACUGAGAGCCAGGAUGCGGGCCCUUGUGUCAUGUAAUCUGACCUUCAUUCCGUGUUUGAACAGAUCUCCAAGUAAAAAAUAACUGUUAAUUAUAGGACCGCGAGAAUGAGCUUCAGAUGCACUCUGUUUUGAUCAGUUUCAUACUGACUCAUGACAUUAAUUCCAGCAGUGCUUCUCUGGAUUGGGCUAAUUCCAUGUUUUUUUUCUCUUCAGGAUCUAGGUCCCUCAGAAUGAGUCAGUGGUUAUUUUAGCAUGCUCGAUAGAUGCCUUUUGGUUCACAGUGUGUUAAUUUUAAACAGCUAAUGUGGGUAAACAUUUUCUAAGCAAAGGCUCUGACUACUCAUGUCAUCCCCAGACAUUUGAUCAAAUGUAUUACCCUUGCUACAACUAAAAGCAUUUUUUUGGUAAUUGUGUGGCAUAAGUUCCCAGAAGGUCAGUGAGAGACCAAAAGGGGUCCUCUGGGGUGUCAGGCACUUUGUUUACUUCAGUACACUGCAGCUCUGAGUUGAUAAUUGCCUCCAUUUUACAGUUGAAGACAGUGAGGUUCAGAGAGUGGUAUGACUGGUUGGUCCCACGGUCCGUAAAUCCUGGACCUGUGAUUCUCAUCAGACCUUCAAAGGGAGUGACUGGACAGGCAGCUGGCCCUUCCAUACGUUAAAUCCAGAUGCUCAGGAGCUAUAGUCUCUUUUUUCUCGGUAUUUUACCUGAUCAGCAUGUGAGACCUUCCACGCAUUAAAGCUCUCAUAGCUAAUAGUGCUGGUGUUGUACAAAGAAAAGGAAUCUUCUCAUGGCUGCUGGGGAGAAGAGAGCUGAGUUUAGUAGCCUGUGCUGCGCUAGAGAGCUGCACACGCGUGAGAAUGCAGCAGGGUUGAUUGGAUUUGAUGCAUUAUUUUUUAAAGAGAGGGGGAGUCAUAAAAGAGAGAGGACAUAUUCAGGGAGUCAGUAAAGAGUGGAAUGGGGUGGGUAGGAUCAAGAUACUUUGUAUAUACAUAUGAAAUUCUGAUAAAUCUUUAGCUGCUUCGCUCUGUCUGUGCAUAACAUCCUUAGGGUUCUUUUCCAACAAAGCGUGAGCGGAUAACUAUAUCUGAAGGUUGGACUGGAGGAACACUGAAGAACUUCAAAGUUCCAGAAGUUUCAGGUUCUGGAUAGUCUUCACUAAGAAGAGCAGAUUCCUAUUGUUUGGUCUAUAGGGUGGCCCUGUCACCAGAUGCCAGAAGAGAUGCAUUUAAAGCCUUCAGCUGUUGGGCUAAGGCCAGAACUCAGCAGUAGAGUGAGCACCUUACCUACUGGGCAGGAAGUCCUGGGUCCCAUCCCCAGCACUGCAAAACAAAAAUCUCUAGGUGUCCAAUUUUGUACUCCAAAAUCUUUUUAAAAAUAUUUGACUUUUCAUUUCCUGUAGAUGUGUAAUACAUAAAGCUGGAAGCCUUAUAUUCUCACAUUUUCUAAAAACAAAUUUCCUACUCAACACAUUGUAACUCUGCAGUAUAACCUGGUAGCAGGUGGAACUCUAAGACCCUUCCUGAGGAGACUUACUACAGGGGAACCAGGAAGGGAACUGAACUGCGCUUUGCUCCUCCUGUUCUCUUGUUUUCCUCACAGGUAGCCCAUUUCCAACAGCUACACUGAGUAAACAAAAGAAAAAGAAUAAGACUGUGUAGAUAAACUUGAAAUUAAGGUGGUGGGGGAGCAGCUUCUGGGAGUCCCAAAGGUUCUUCUGCCUUCGCUACAGGGAAAUAGGAGGUCUGCGAGUUGGCUCCAUGUGUUCAGUUUUUGCAGGAUUUUCAUAGCUGAGGAUCAAUUGUUCUACCAAUGAACUGGACCCCCAAUCAUUUUUUAUUGGGCGAGGAAGGGUUGUGCACUCAUGUACCACAUGUGGAGGAAAGAGGGUAGCUUUGGGAGUCUCAUCAUCUACCUUGUAGAGGCAAGGUCUCCCUCAUUCCCCUGCACUAGUUCUCCAGAAUAGCACACAAGCUUGGCAGAAGUACUGAGAUUACAGAUGCAAGCUACACUAUCCAACUGUUUUUAUGAUUUUAAAUCUGGACCAGGGAUCAACUCAGGUCAUGUGGUUUGCAGGGCAUACUCUUUUACCACACUGUCUUCUCAUCCAAUCCCCCUUUUAAAGACAGUUUUCUUAGCUCAGCCUUGGUCUUCCAGAGAGGCCACACACUGGCAAUUCUCCUGUCCCUCUCUCCCAGUUGCUGGGAUGAGAGGUGUGUCUCCCAGGUUAAUACUUGCAGAAAUGGUCAUUGCUAGACUUCACAUUCUCAUUAACCACCAAAGUGUAUGUGUUGAGCAGCCUGCAGCCCUGCCUUAGUGGCCCUCAUCCCCCUGCUGAGCUACACUAAUGGUGCCAGCAUCUACUGUUCCCAAAUCAUUCUGUCCAGGCCAGUCAUCAAGUAUGUACCAUUAUAAAAAUAGACUUUAAGGGCCACCAACUUGAAUAAUUAUCGCUAAUUACACUUUUUUUUUGAACAGCCAUGGGUAGCAUUGUUUUUACAUGGAAAUAAAAUGUGGUAUUUUAAAAUGAGUAACACUUUUUGUCUAACAGUUCCGCAGUGUGUGCCCUAUAUUUAUAGUGUGUGUCAGGAAUUAAGGAGCAGUGAGAAGCUGCAAGCUCACACUGUGGCAGACAGUAGGAUGGGUGGCACCCGUGCCGUUGGGUUCUGUGUCCAGAUACAGCUGUCUGGGGAAUAGGAUGACUGCAGGGUGGGAACUAGGGAAAGAAACUACUCAAUUGUGAAAUCAGGAAAGAGAAGAAGGAUCAAGGAGUCUGAAGACAGCCUUGUAACUGUCAUCAACUGAUGCGCCAGCAAAAAGCCACAGCCUCUAGUUCCCCUCUGAGCGGCUGGGACACUGCUAGGCAGUGACUGCAGACAUUUCUCUGUGCCAGGUUCCUGACCUCUGUGGCCCAAUGGCCAGACUUAACUUUCUCUUCUCCCUCAGCUGACCAGGUUUCAACACUCCAGCUGGGCCUGUGCCUAGCUUCGUGAAGAGUGUAGGCCCCAGCCAGUCUCUGACACUUCUCCAACUAGGGGCAGGGUACAGACACUAAGUCUGAGACAGUGAGAGUCUCAGUGACAGUGGCCAAGUCACAGCCACUCAGGAUGAGCACACAGAGGUAAGGAGGACUUCCAUGUCUGAACAAUUCUAGCCUGUACCUCCCUCUGCACUGGGUGACAACCCUGCAGCCCACAACAUCUCCAUUUGCCAAGUCUUAGUACGACUUGCCCCAGGUGAUGUGGGUGUGUCGCCAUCUUUCAGUCUUGAUCCAUAAGGCAAAGUCCUGAAAUCUUCUUCCCCAGGAGCAAAUGUGUCAUCCAGCUCAAGGGUCCAAAGAUGCGGCAGGGGAGGGCCCAGGUUCAGAUCCCAAACUGAUGUGUGAAAAGUGGCAGCAUAAAUACAUCAGGGUUUCAUGAGUACAUGGGCCCCAAAAAACUACCAAAAUGCCUGGGGUACAAUGUGUUAGUUAGCUUUCCCUAAAAUGCACAACAAAAAACAAUGUAAAGGAUUUCUUUCAGCUCAGAGUUUACAGGUUACUGGAAGGCAGUCACAGCUGCAGUGGGGUGGGGCCGCCAGUCCCAGUGCAUCCAUGGUCAGGAAGCAGAGAGAGACUGCCAGGGUUCAGCCGCCUGUCUCCGUUCUAUUCAUCUGGUGUGAGAGCCCCAGCCCACAUUUGUUGGGUCUUUCCACUUCCAUUAUCUCAAUAUAGAAAUUCUCUCACUGAGAGACACAGACGUGCAUCCUCUAGGAUGCUCUAAGUCCCAUCAAGGUAACAAGAUUAACUACCACACACUGUAAGUUUUCAAUAAUUAUUACCAUUUUAUAAAUCAAGGGGGACGUGAACCUGCAUUAGCUCAUACUGCUCAGCGUACGUGUGCUUUGGAAUAUUUGUAAAUAUCUCUUACAUAUGUAGAAAUUGCUUUUCACACAGCUCAAAAUGCGUGGUCAUCAUUUUUCUGUGGCUUCCAAUUGCAUAAGCCACUUCCUACUGCUGGUGGCAGGAGGUAAAAGGACCACAGCCUGGCAGGAAGGAGCUUGGACCCCAGCCAGCUGUGCUGUCCGAAGCAACAGCUUCUCAGAAGCUGGGCACGGUUCUUCACUCUCCACUCCUGGAUGGGAGAAACCACUUGCAGGAGCCAGGCAGAGGCUUCUGCAUGCCCAUCACUGCCCCAGAAGCAACUGACCAGUUCCUUGAGGGGUGUCGAAGGUCACCUCUUCUAGAGUGCUCAGGAGGUAAGUGGACAACCGUCAUCCUCCAGGCUGUGCUGGGACUCACCACAGCACAGUGUAAAUGCCACUGGGGUGCUCCAACACUGCCCCACAGGCCUGGUGACAGGACUCAGAGGUGAAAGAGAGCCACUGGGCAUGCUGGUCCAGGCUUGUGGUUCCAGCUGAUUGGGAAGCUGACACAAGGACCAAGAGUGAGUUUAAGGCCAGCUGGGUAAUUUUGAUCCCAUCUUGAUCUUUAAAAAGGUGAAAAGACGCCUUUAAAAAGGUGGUGGCGCAUGCCUUUAACCCCAGCACUCGGGAGGCAGAGACAGGCAGAUCUCUGUGAGUUUGAGGCCAGCCUGGUCUACAAGAGCCAGUUCCAGGACAGGCUCCAAAGCUACAGGUGAAAAGACAACUGACGACCAAAAAUGUAACUCAGUGGCAAAGUGCUUCCCUAGUGUGCACGCGUGGUGUUUAGUCCCCAGUAGAGAAGAGAUGGGAGCCAGCUGCCCGAUGUCUUGAGCCAGUCCAGAGUUUCCGGUCUCAAUGUCUGGGUACCACAGUCCUACUGCAGGAGAGUACCACAGCCCACCUGCCCACUCAGCAAGACUGCUUCCUUCUCACCAGACAAGAGGUCAGCAAAAGCCACUGCCCACUUUUAAAAAAAAGAAAUCCAAUACCAAGAGGAAAACAGCUCUUGCUGUGAGGAACUUAAACACCUUAGAUGAACAGAGGGGAAGACGAACGUAGUCGUGGGUGGCUUCUGCAGAGACGUUCACACGUGGCACACGGCUCCCUGUGCUUUCUUCAGAUGUCCUCUGAACAGCCCUUCAAUCACCAGUGGACCCCCGGCCUGACACCACAGCUUCCAUUGCUCAGCUGCAUGCCACCAUCACUACCACCCACCUCCUAGGUCACAUGACCUGCAAAAAGCAUUUACCCCUCAAGCCAAAGCUUGCCCCCAGUGCUUUUCAAGGCAUCAUUUCAAAGUGAAAGUCUGCACGAUUAAACCGAGGUACUUAAAAAGAAAAAGGAAAAAAGAUCUCUCAAGGCCUUGGAUCUCUUAGGAGCCCAGCUUCCUAAAUAACCACACGCCCCACUGUAGCCCUACCGCUGAACAAGAUUUGCAUUUGAAUCUGUGUUUUCUUCACCAGGAGGGCCACGCUACCGAAAGACACCUGGGACACCACCCAGUCUGUUGUAAGUGCGGCCCUUUCCUCCGCAGCUCUAUUUCUACUUACUGUGACCCUUGUACAGCACUUCAGCAAUAAGUGAAGGCAAAACUGUAGACCACAACACAAAAUGUCCUUUUCAUACCAGAUUUCCCCACAGCAAAAUUCCAAUAAUAUUACAAGUUGUCUGCUCUCAGUUCUGAGCCCACCUUUUGGGCUUGCGUGGCUCUCAACCACAAGGUUUCCCCAGGUGUCACCUUUCUAUGUCACCAUGGGGUCCCUGUUGGUCCCAGGACAGGCUAUCAGAGUGUGAUCCACUCUAACCAGGAAACUUGCUGGUUUAACAAGAUGGGAUCUCUUGCCAUGUAUGCAUCCCAGCACUGUAAGAUGUACCACCAAAACCUUGUUACAGCUGCCUGUCAAUUGAACUUCCUGAAGGACCAGGCAUUUCAAUACUUGGUCGCCCGUUGGUGAUGCUGUUUGAGGAGGCUUAAGAGUUGUGGCCUUGUUGAAGGAGAUGUGUCAAUGGAGUUUAAUAUAUGAGCCCUCAGUGUCCUGCUCCUGUUGCAACUUGGACUCUGCCAUCAUGGACUCUAAUCCUCUGGCAUGUGUGCAGGACGUGAGAUGCAUCUUCAUGUGGCUUCCACUGGGAGGGCUCUUUCAAAGCCUGAAACUUCCCACAGCUCCAUAAACUUCUCUUAGUGUCCCCAGCAGCAACUCCACAUCGUCAGCCCAUCCUCUGUGAGAUCCUGGCUGCUCCAGUUUCCGGGUUUGCAAGUAAGUGUAUUGUCUCUGCUUCCCCCUCUUCCAGCAAGGGUGCACUCCCCAUGCUGAUAUGAGACGGUAGCUACUGUGAGUUGCUCUACGGGAAUGUCACCGCAGGAGUGCAGUCCCAGCUAGGAUCCUGCAGCAGCAUGCGUGAGGUGGAGAACGGUGGUAACUUGGUAUCUUUAUUACCCUUUCUUCCUGGGUGCGAAGCCUCCAUUUCACACCUCCCUAGAGGCCAGGCUGGCCAAGUGAUGAAUUCCAGUCAACAGGAUAUGAGCCUAAGCAGUUGUGCCCCUUCCAGGUCUGGUCUGAAGACAUCCUCUCCCUUUUCUCCUCCAUCAUUGCCUGACUGGUUCCAGACAACUAGGAAGGAGCCUUAUGGAAGACAUGGGUCCCACCAUGACAGCAUGGACAAAGGCCAUCUUUCAGAACUUUCACUUGCCAUGAUUCCACAGCCCAAAUAAAGUUUUUCUGUAUCUGUACCAACA